GGGUGCUUAGCUCAGUUGGUAGAGCGGCGCCCUUACAAGGCGUAGGUCGGGAGUUCGAGCCUCUCAGCACUCA
rnacentral:tRNA from 1 species